rnacentral:rRNA from 1 species
UGGGGAAUUUUGCGCAAUGGGGGAAACCCUGACGCAGCAACGCCGCGUGCGGGACGAAGGCCCUCGGGUUGUAAACCGCUUUCAGCAGGGAAGAUCCAAGACGGUACCUGCAGAAGAAGCUCCGGCUAACUACGUGCC